rnacentral:lncRNA from 1 species
UUCGCUGGAGAAAUCAAGAACUGGUGGCUACUGAGGACUUUGUAAGAAAAGAGUACUACUAAGAAGUCCAAUAGGAGCAGUGAAAUACCUGCUCCACUUUUUAAACAGACAUCUGUAACAGAAGUUAAAGAAAAAAUAUCACCAACAGAGGAUCAAACUCUGCAGUUUACUCACAUGUGAACCUUGCUAAGGUGGAAGUAUUCUAACAGCGCCUAAAGUAAACAAAAAUUGAGAUUGAGAUAGGAAAAUAAAUGAAAAUUUUCCUCUGGGGCAGGCUAAGGAAAAGAAGAUUUAGUGCACAAUAUUACCGUGAGAUUGUUGCAGAGGCUUCCUAAUUUGGUGGUUUCCUAAAUCAGAGGAAAGAACUUCUCAAUCACAGCAGACGCAGUGAGAUUGCAGCUGUGGGUGCCAAGCCGAAAGCACAUUUGCUUGGUGUUUUCUCAGGAACACGUCCACAAGUCACUUAUGCCUCAGUUCUGUUCCCGUGAAACAUCCCAGAAGGGGCUAAGAGGAGAAGUGUGGAAAACUAGAACCACAGUGUGA